rnacentral:lncRNA from 1 species
CCGCCAUAACGAGUUUGUUGUUGUUGAAAAAAAAAUAAGAGAAAAUAAAAUGUACGGAGGUUUAGCUGGAGAUCAUUCGAAACGCCAGGUCUCUUAGCAGAGAUGUUCACUGGGAGACAGUUCCAUUGUUUUGUCCUGGUCAUGGCAGAGAAGUUGGUCAUCUGGUAGAUAGUUUCAUUGUUGUGUAGAGGCCAUGGCAGUGAUGUAGCCGAAAAGAUAAAAACAAAGAUGUGUGUGUCAGUUGAUGAUAAUACAGCUGAGUCUUUGUACAGGCAAAUUGCAUUCAGAAAACCUCACCUACUGGGCUUAGACAUAUGGAAGCAGAUAUAACAUGUGACAAAUAUUACAUUUUAUGGGGGUAUAAUUGUGAAGCAGGGACGAAAUGUCAAGAAAUGUCCUGUACAGACAAAAAUAACAACAGGGAGGCAACAUAAGUAUGCAACAAUUUAGAAAAUCUGAAAAUGGUAUAGAGCUGAGACAGACAAGAGUUCCAUCAAAGUAGAUAGAGUUUAAGCAAAGCUGAAGCAGGCAGGGUUUUAGCCAAAAGCUUAGUUAAAUUUUUAACAGAGUUGAGGCAAACAAAAGUUUUAGCAAAGAUAAGACAGAUAGAGUUUUAGAAGAGCUGAGGCACACAGAGACUCAGCAAAGAGUUAAGGCAGAUGGAGUUUCAGCAAAGAACUGAGACAGACAGAGGUUCAUAAAACAGCUGAGGUACACAAAGCUGAGGCAAAGAGCUGAGGCUUACAGAGUUUCAGCAAAGAGCUGAGGCACACAGAGUGUUGGCAAAGAGGCAUACAGGCAAGGAACUGUGUUUCAGCAAAGACCAAAGAAAAGAGCUGCUGAGGCAUCAUUCACUUAAAGAAAAAAGAUACUUAUUUAUGAAUAGCUGCCACAAAUACUUCAAGGGAAAUCAAAGGUCACUGGAGACUCUACCAGGACAUACAUCUGACCAAUACACAAAGUUUUGUCAGGAGAUAUAUCACACAGUUAAGGGCCUACAAAGAUGCAAAGGUUUAAGGCUGUACAACAUGCAAGACUACCAGACGUAAUCAGCCUAUACAAUCAUUACCAAGCUGCUUAGUGUAUGAUGGGUCCUCUACACCAAGAAACAUUGUAACCUAGCUAAAGUCUGCCACCUGUUCAGCUGACUUGGUCAUGAUGGUGAAAAUUAAAGUGCCUGAAAAUCCUCCUGUUGAUGACCUAGCAGUCAAAGUACCUCAGCAAAAAAUCAGACAUUUCUUAUUCAUCGUCUUUCUUCAAUUUCAAGAGCAAGGAGAUACAUGGAGAAUUCCUGUCUUUCACCUAUACUGAGCCUUCGAAGAUUUUCAAACACUAUUCAGCACGCUGUAUAUCCCUUGAGAAAUUUUCGAGACGGUUUCUUCAGCAGUGCCCUGCCUUGAAGUCUUACUUGAACAGUCAUGAUGACAGUGAAAUGUCAGGGAACAGUAUUCAAAGAUGUGCUGCCAGACUACCUGAUUCGUUGUUCAGCCUGAGUUACCACUUCCUUGAAUUCAUUAUGGGUCAUCUGAAUGAAUUCAGUACCACCUUUCAGGCUAGUGAGUCAGUGAUUGGUUAUCUCCAUCCAGAAAUGGAACAACUAGUGCGGAAGUUUUUAGGGACAUUUGUAUAGACCAAGGUUAUGACAUCUGCCAGAACCAUCACUGAAGUCCAUGCCGAGGAGAGGGAAAACCAACAUCCAGACAACGACCUGGCUGUGGGUAUGGGUACACUCCCUAUACAUACAUGACAACCCUGGUAUUCCAGCAGAAACCAUCAGAGAGCUUUUCAGUUCUGUGAGAGACUUUAACCUGGGGGGACCAGUAUGAUUGUGAAGAAGUUAUCCAUUGGUGAUAUUACCUAGCACAACCCAAUCUUCUCCAGGAUUAAAACCUACAGCCUUCUAAUAAAAGUCUUUUGUCGGACCUAUUGAGCUUACAGGCAGAGCUGGCUUGGUGGAAACGAUAUCAAAAGGUUGUUGCAUCAUCUGUAGACUAGCAAUAAAUUAGGUGAUAAAAAAUGUGUCAAACAGAAUCAGACUUUUAAAAAAUUUAAUGUACAGUGAAACACCGCUCGCUCGAGGUCGAAAGGGGAUGAGCAAAAUGCUCAUGUUAUCCAUGGUUUUGAGUGACCCAAACAUUGACAAACAUAUAAAGAAAAAUUAACUUUGUUUUACCAAUUGUCAUAGGGAUUAUUAUACCCCCACCAAACAUGUUUGAGGGGGGUAUAUAG